UACGUAGGGUGCAAGCGUUGUCCGGAAUUAUUGGGCGUAAAGAGCUCGUAGGCGGUUUGUUGCGUCGGCUGUGAAAUCCCGAGGCUCAACCUCGGGUCUGCAGUCGAUACGAGCAAACUAGAGUGUGGUAGGGGAGACUGGAAUUCCUGGUGUAGCGGUGAAAUGCGCAGAUAUCAGGAGGAACACCGAUGGCGAAGGCAGGUCUCUGGGCCACUACUGACGCUGAGAAGCGAAAGCAUGGGGAGCGAACAGG
rnacentral:rRNA from 1 species